UUGAACGCUGGCGGUAGGCCUAACACAUGCAAGUCGAGCGGAUGAAGGGAGCUUGCUCCUGGAUUCAGCGGCGGACGGGUGAGUAAUGCCUAGGAAUCUGCCUGGUAGUGGGGGAUAACGUCCGGAAACGGGCGCUAAUACCGCAUACGUCCUGAGGGAGAAAGUGGGGGAUCUUCGGACCUCACGCUAUCAGAUGAGCCUAGGUCGGAUUAGCUAGUUGGUGGGGUAAAGGCCUACCAAGGCGACGAUCCGUAACUGGUCUGAGAGGAUGAUCAGUCACACUGGAACUGAGACACGGUCCAGACUCCUACGGGAGGCAGCAGUGGGGAAUAUUGGACAAUGGGCGAAAGCCUGAUCCAGCCAUGCCGCGUGUGUGAAGAAGGUCUUCGGAUUGUAAAGCACUUUAAGUUGGGAGGAAGGGCAGUAAGUUAAUACCUUGCUGUUUUGACGUUACCAACAGAAUAAGCACCGGCUAACUUCGUG
rnacentral:rRNA from 1 species